CAGCCGCCGCGGGAAUACGUAGGGUGCAAGCGUUAAUCGGAAUUACUGGGCGUAAAGCGUGCGCAGGCGGAUCUAUAAGACAGAUGUGAAAUCCCCGGGCUCAACCUGGAACUGCAUUUGUGACUGUAGAGCUGGAGUGCGGCAGAGGGGGAUGGAAUUCCGCGUGUAGCAGUGAAAUGCGUAGAGAUGUGGAGGAAUACCGAUGGCGGAGGCAGCCCCCUGGGAUAACACUGACGCUCAUGCACGAAAGCGUGGGGAGCAAACAGGAUUAGAUACCCGGGUAGUCCCUGUCUCUUAUACA
rnacentral:rRNA from 1 species